rfam:TPA: Bos taurus chromosome 25, whole genome shotgun sequence.
UCCCUGGUGGCUCAGAGGGUAAAGAAUCUGCCUUCAAUGCAGGAGACCCAGGUGCAAUCCCUGGGUUGGGAA